UAAUACGAAGGGGGCUAGCGUUGCUCGGAAUCACUGGGCGUAAAGGGCGCGUAGGCGGACUCUUAAGUCGGAGGUGAAAGCCCAGGGCUCAACCCUGGAACUGCCUUCGAUACUGAGAGUCUUGAGACCGGAAGAGGUAAGUGGAACUGCGAGUGUAGAGGUGAAAUUCGUAGAUAUUCGCAAGAACACCAGUGGCGAAGGCGGCUUACUGGUCCGGUUCUGACGCUGAGGCGCGAAAGCGUGGGGAGCAAACAGGAUUAGAUACCCUGGUAGUCCACGCCGUAAACGAUGGAUGCCAGCUGUUGGCGGGUUUACUCGUCAGUGGCGCAGCUAACGCUUUAAGCAUCCCGCCUGGGGAGUACGGUCGCAAGAUUA
rnacentral:rRNA from 1 species